rnacentral:lncRNA from 1 species
UGUCUGAUGAAAUGAAAAUAUCUGUUGAAAAAAGAAACAGAGAGUAUUGAAGAUUUGCCUGAUAAAAUGCAAAAUCUUUUGAAAAAGAAGAAAAAGUAACAGAGAAAAAUGAGGAUUUCCCUAAUGAAAUGCAAAUAUCUGUUAAAAAGAAAAAGAAGUCAAAGAAAAUUAAUCAAGUGCCAUCUUUGACAAAAUAGUAGCAUUGCUGGACAUGAAAACAAGCCUGAAAUGAUUGAAACAAAAUCAAACACUCUAUAUGCACAAAAAAAGUGCAAGUAGGCAAAAAUAGAAAAAAAUGCAGCUGGGAAAAGAAUUUGAUGAAGAAGAGAAAUAGUUUGAUAAUAUUAAUACACAUAAAGCUAUUAUUGAUAUUGAAUGUUCACUAUUAAAUAAAUACGAGGGUGAGAAAAAUAGUUUUGGUAGAAAUAAGUAACUUAGAAUUAAAUGAAGUUACUUGUAUUAUUUCUCUUAGUGCAGUGGGUUUUUCAAAUCAAUUCAGAAGAGAUUAUAAUGGAACGAAUGAACUCCUUUAUUAUUUUUGAAGACACCUAUGGGUGCAAGCUAAAAGUUUCUUUAUUUCUUUAAUGGACAAUUCAUGAAAUUUUUGGAGCUGUUUCAUUGUUGUUGUUGUGUGGGUGAAGAUUUGUCCCAAAAUCUUAGAGUAACACUGUACGACGAAAAAAUCAAAUAUAUCUACAUAGAGUUAAAUGAACUUAUGGUGUUAUGUGGGUAUGGCAAGAACAACAAAAAGAAAAGACAAGUAAUGGUUGGCCUCGAAUUAUUGGGAGGCUGGAUGGUAAAGGAUUGUUUACUAAGUUCUCUGGUGAUGAACAUUCAAGGCCCGAAUGACUAAAUACCUUAAUAUAACAAGAAGAAGAACUUAAAGAAAUCUGGAAUGCAGUUAAUAAAUUGGCUAUAAAGUAUGAUAUCAUGAAGAAUGUCAGAAUGGUGUUCACAAUACAAUAUUGGAAGUUGAAAAGAUUAAAACAAUUAUAAUGGUGUUAACAAGUAUUUCUGAAUAGGUCGAAAAAUGGAUAAGAGGUGUUCAAAAUGGAAAGACUGGAAAAUUGACGCCGAGUUUGUUUUCAAUUCAGCAUGUGAAGAAGAUAUUGGGCAUGCGGGAAAUGAUAAAUCAUGAUGGAUUAAACAGUGUAGUUGAAAGUUAGAGGAUUGGAAACUUUUACUCUUUACCUGUUCAACUUAAGGGGACGGCGAAUGGAGUAGACAUGGCAAUUCGAUUACCUGUGCAUAAUAAAUAUUAUCAGUAAAGGGAACUCCCGAUGACAGUAGAAUAAUGGGUUUGAAUGUCAUAUCAUUCACCAAUUGGUUAAUAUUGGGUGAUAAGUGAUAUUAAAGAUAUAUAUAAAGAAAUAUAGAAAGAUGAAUUGGUGGAUUGUAAUCAUUCUGAAGAUAUUCGUCUGUGUCCAGAUGUGAAGUUGUUUAAAAUUUGACAAAAAUUAUGUUUGCCAUGAUUGACUCAUGGAAAAAUUUAAAUUAGUCAGGGGACUAUGUGACAUAAUGUUACAUAAGUUGGACAACAUAUUUGUUUCUUAAAUCAAUGAUUGAAAAGUAUUGUUGAUGUACAGAAGGCACAAUGGAUCAAAGACUCGUGUGUAAGUGCUUCAAUUUUCCAACAAAGCGUCAAGAAGUACUUGGAAAUUGAUAAUGGAUUAUAACAUCUAUUAAUAAAUAAAAUGUUAGAAUUGAAGAUUAUUUUAUUGGAGCAACAUCAAGUCGAGAACUAUGGAAGCAAUGAUUUUGGAUGAAGUGAAAAAUGUGAUUGUAAAUUUGGAUGUACAUGAGUUGGAUCUCUAAAUAUGGACAAUCAAGCUUUAAAAAAAAAAUUAAAAUUAUUAGUGGAACUCUACAAGCCAGUCUCAAAUGAAUAAGUUGAAAAUUAUGAAGAGAUUUGCUCCAAUGAAAAAAAAAAUGCUUCAGGAUUUACGGUAUAGUUGGUAUCGAUACUUUCUGAAAUUAUUAUAAUUUCAGGAUUCAUUUGUAUAUUGCUGUAUAAGAUACAAGCCAGUAGGCCUGUAGAGGAGUGAGGCUGAAUCCUGAUGGACUGUGAAGAAAUAAAAAAAAAAGGCGACGCCGUCUUUUCCUCAACGGAAAAACAUCUGUAGUGUCAUUCAGGAUCGUCCCAAUCAGGAUUAUUGAUAUUAUAUUGUUGUUUAUAUCUUUCUUACAUUAAUUUUAUUUGUAUAUAUAUAAUAUCAAUUUAAUUUCAGCAAUACGGGAAUGUAUGUCUAUAAUUGUAUAUUAUUAAUGAUUGUAAGUAUAUGUAUGAUAACUACUGUCAAUGGGGCUGGUUUAUCGCUAAGUGAGAGGUUUUUGUAUCAUCCUUUCAUGAAUCAUAUGUAGAAUGAAAGCCCUAUUAUCGUGUGCGCGUAUUGUGUAUCACAUGAUGAAUAUGAUCUGGAAUAAUCUAGAAUGUAAUAAGUAAGGCAGCACUAAACCCAAACUUUAUAAAUACUUCAGUCCAUGUCCAUGUUAAGGAAACUCCUCACUUUAUUCACCCAGACCUAUGUAAAUCCUAAGUACCUAACAAACAUCCCAUUGUUAGUAGUCUCCAACAUAUAAGUAACUUUGUAGUAGCCUUUUCCACUAUUGCAAUUCCCUGGAAUAGAAAAGAACACUACAACAUGAAAGACCCAGAUGUAUUGGAGAUACUUCAAGUCUUCAGGAGCUAAAUUUAGAAAGAUGAUAGGCGAUGCUAACUAUUAACUCAGGUACUAAUGAAGAACUGAGAAACGAAAUGUUGAAAGCAAAAGAAUACUCUCUUGAUAAUAUUUUGGAAAUUAUACAGAGAUACCAAUCUGUUGAAGCAACAAAACUUAAAUAUACAGCUGGAUAACUUUUCUAUAUUAGAAGAAUUUUGAUAAAACUAAAAAGACAACACCAACGCAUGUAAAAAAAAUGGGAAAAUAUUUUUUCUACAUCGAAACCACCAGAUAAAAAGGAUAAUUUGUUUCAGAUAUUGAUCAAAUUACCACAAAUCCAACAAAUGCAAUAUUGACAGGGAAAUUAAAUGCAAGAAUGUGGAAAAAAUGGUCACAUUACCAAAAUAUUACAAAGCUCAUAUCAAGGAAAAUCAUGACAGAAAACCAUCUUGGCUAACUUCAUUUCAUCAAAACCUUAGAAUUACAGCAGAAAUCACAUUUUAUAAUCUGGAUAGUCGUGUAAAUUUUUAAUUUGACAUUCUACCCGAUUCGGGAAACACUGCACCCCUGCUAUCAUGUGACUUAGUGAAAAAAAAUUGCCUUCAUUUAAAUAGAUCAUAUACCCCUACAGUUUAUAAUGCAUCUAAGCGACAAAUGAAAUUCGUUGGUGUUACGGAUAUUAACCAUUCAUACUUUAAAAAUCAUUCAUACAUCAAAGCAGCUGUGAUUGACGAUUUAGAAAGAGAAAUAUUAGUUGAUUGGUAGACCUUACUAAAAUUAAAUAUUCUUCAUUAUUCAUUCAUUCAUUCUUCCACUUCCAGUGGAACUGGUCGAAUGGAGUGGUGAUUCACUCCAGUAGAAUCUCCAGUAGAUAUGUAUUUGGAAAAACGUAUGAACCAUUCAGCAGACCCUUCAAUAAAGAGCGUAAGACAUCUAAAUAUUCAGGCAAAAUUACCCCCACCAAAUUGAAGAAAAUAUCAAACACGCAGACUUCCUGAAAUUGAUUAUGACCUGGGAUAAUUGUGUGAACUUGAAUCCUUUGGAGGAAAAGACCAGAGAAGAGUAGAGUGCAAUAUUAUGUACGUGUUGCUCGCCUGGAUGAUUUAUCAAAGUACGUCAUUUGGUGGAAAUUCAACCUAGUACUAUCAAAACAUUGGAGGAAGUAAUUCAAAAUUUGGGUAAACAUUUAAAAGAUAAAAAGCAUAUUGCGGGAACAAGAUAUAAAUUAGUCAGAUGAAAACAAGCCAAUCUGAUUGCCAACAUAAAGAAAUCGUCUAUGUUGUUAAGAAUAUUGGUCAGGAGGAUAUUUUUUUAUCACAGCAUGCGUGUAUGGGAUUAGGAAUUAUACACAUAUACUUCUUUAGACACUUUAAGGAAGAAUUGAUUAGUAAAUCUUUGGUAAAGGCAAGUAUUAAACGUCAUCAAACUCUAGAUUUUAAUAUAUCAGAGAAAAUCAAAAUGGAUCUUUUACAAGACUUGAUAGCCAAAUUUUCAGAUGAAUUUACCUGGGAUAAAAAACUUAAGACGAUGAAAUUCCCUCUGAUGAAAGUAGAGCUUUUUGAUUUUGCAAAGCUAUUUUUUCCUCAUGGAUCAAGAAAAAUUCAAUUUUGCUUCAGAGAUCAAGUUAAAACACGCCAGGAAAUGGGGAAGAAAGACGUAUAAAGAAGAUCGACGAUGAGGUGACAGAAUGGUGUCAUCCAAUUGCUAUUGUAAUAAAACCUACUGGAAAAAUACGGUUAACAAUAGAUCUUACUAAAUUAAAUUCUCAAGUAAAGAGAUUAGUUCACCCGAUGAAGACAUCUAAAGAGGUUGUUUCGGAAAUUAACCAAAAUCAAGUUACUUUACAAAAUAUGAUGCAGUAAAUGGAUAUUGGCAAAUGCAAUGGAAAGGAAAGACCAUAAAGUAAUUGGAUACAUUUGUUCGAGAACUUACAUUAUGAAAAUGUGUUUUAAGGUUAAAAUUAUUAUUAAUAAGUUUAUAUAGACUAAGUGAUGUAUAUUUAAUUAGCAUAUGUAAAGGGGGUGUUGUGUAUGUAAAAUUUAUAUGGUACCCCUAACGUGGGAACAUUAUUAAAGCAUCUAGUUAGUACUUAUCUAACUUUAACAGACUCAACAAAUUGUAUGCAAAUAAAAGCGAUAUAAUUAAUAUCGCAACUCGUUGGCCUGUAUUAAAGCGUUAAAAGAAAGUAGUUCAUCGAGGCAGCUAGACUGUAAAAGCUCAGUGUACCCGCGUUACCAUUUUUUCUUAUAAGAUGUCGCUAUUGAAUUAACAUUCUUACGUCACAAUUCCAUACAUCAUGUAUAGAAUUGUGACGUAAGCAUAACAUGACGUACGAUGUAUUUUAUUAAUCUCAUUCAAAUAUAAUUUAAAUUAUGAUCCAUUCAAUUCUACUUACUUCAUUCUUUAAUAAUUACGGGCAUUUAAUUUUAUAAUAGUUUCAUUGGAAAAAAAUAUAUAUAAUACCAGUCACAUAUCUGUAAGGGAAUAUAUUCUUAGCUACAUUUCAUUGGUA